rnacentral:rRNA from 1 species
UACAGAGGUCCCAAGCGUUGUUCGGAUUCAUUGGGCGUAAAGGGUGCGUAGGCGGCAGGGUAAGUUGGAUGUGAAAUCCCGGGGCUCAACCCCGGAACUGCAUUCAAUACUGCCCUGCUAGAGUACUGGAGAGGAGAUUGGAAUUCAUGGUGUAGCAGUGAAAUGCGUAGAUAUCAUGAGGAAGACCAGUGGCGAAGGCGGAUCUCUGGACAGUUACUGACACUGAGGCACGAAGGCCAGGGGAGCAAACGGG